rnacentral:sRNA from 1 species
GCUAGCUAGUUGGCGGCCUGCCAGAUUUUGUUCCAUCGUUUGUUGUUCCGUUUGCUAGCCUUGCUUGGACGCCGCCACGUGCAGGAUGAUGGUCAGAUCAAACGACCCAACAAUGAUUAUCAUUUCCAUGCGUGUUCUAGUUUAUUGCUUUGUCCAGCGCAUUUUCUGAUCCUUUGCCCUUUUUAUUUUUAUUUUUAUUUUUAUUUAUUUAUUUUAUUUUAUUUUUUUUUUUGGAUCGGUGAUGUUAUCUGCUACUUUGAGUUUGCUAUGUCCCUUGCUACUGCUAAAUUGCCCCGCAGAAAGUUGCGGCACUCUCAUCACUUGUCGGGUUUUCAUCUCGCGCUGAAAUCAGGCUUACGUCUCUAACCCUGUCCAUCACGAAGUACCGGCAUAUUAUUCAACUCUCCGGAUGUAACUAACACUACAACAGGGAGACCUAAUUUGGCGUAAUCCCGCUCCACCGAGUGAACAAUCUGUCAUGGUUUCGUUAGAUCGGCUCAAUAAGUUCUCAUCGGAUCACCAAUUUGAUCUCUUCCCCACAUUGUGGGGAAGCUUUGUUCUGUCAUCAUCGUUAUUUAACUCUCUUUGGGCGAAAGCGUGGAACAAAAGUCGUUUCCCCACACUAGAAAAGUAAAUGGAAGCAUCAUAAUACGAGGC